CCUCAGUUCCCGUUACAACUUGGAGAAGAAGGACUCAAUUGCUUGGGGGAUCAACCAUGAAAGGAACGCUAUUGACCAAUAUCGUAAACUUGUGGCUAAGGUUGAAUAAACAGGCAUAUGGCUUCACGAAUCAGGAAUUCUCGGCGCUUCCCAGAUGGAAUUGUGGUAACCCCAAUUCCACAGUCUGCAACACCACCACCAGACAUCAUCGAAGUUAAGUGUCCAUUUUCUGCCAGAGACAAGCCACCGUUGGAUGCCAUUGGUCAAAAGAAUUUUUGCUUAGUCAGAACUGAUGGGAGAAUUACUUUGCCAAAUGACCAUGAAUACUACCAUCAGAUCCAAGGCCAACUGUACAUCAUGGGGAAGACAUGCUGUGACCUCCUCAUUUGGACACCCCGUGGACUUCUCAUACACAGAAUAUACCGGGAUCCAGAAUGGGCUUCAAAUAUCUCAAAGCUGAUAGAUUUCUUUUAUGACAAGUACUUUCCAACCAUAUUGUCUUAGUGUGGGUAGCUAGCCAACAGAAGACCAAGUGACUGCAGAGGAUAUGAAGAAGGAUCAAGGCUAUCCUGAAACAAGCAUGGCCAUAUGGAGAUAUUGUGAAUGGUGACAACAACGCUGACAUUUUGAAAAAGAGACUAUGUUCUUUUAGUGUGCAAUUGAUGAUUUGUUGUACAAUUCAGGUCAGUUUGUCUCAGUAUCAACUUAAACAAUGCCUUUAAUUAUUAUCCUGACACAUUUUUGUUUCGGGUUAACCACCCAUGGGCUUCAUGCAAGGAGCAUGAGUUGCGGAUACAUGACGCACCAUGACAGUUAUUGGAUACCCCAGGGGUAGGUUGAUCCCAAACACCUGUAUUGAAUGGUUAAUUGUUUAGGGCAUGGUGAAGGUUGAU